UAGUAUGAGUGUGGCUGAAAUGUUUUGCAUUUUUAAAAAAGCUUAACUGGCUACAGUUGUAUGAAAUAUAGACACUGACCGCUAGGGGGUAGCACUGUUGGGUUGAAAAUAUACUGUUAUUCCAAAAUGGAUUCAAGCCAGACUUUCUUUUUUGUUUUUUUUAAUAUUAUCCACCUUGCCUGUAUGUACUACAUACAAUUUCUGAAUU